CCUGGGUGAUGGCUACUGCUGUUCUGAGCUUGAGUAACAAGGUGGUAGGGAAUGACAGGGGCCAGCCAGUAGCCCUUGUGACGAAUGAGGAAGCUAUGUCACAGAGCUGUUAGGUCAUGAAGGCGGGACUGGGUCUGAGUCUAAACGGUGUAUUCUCAGGCACAACGUUGUACUGCCAGCUUAGAGAAGGUAGCCUUGAAGUUCCCUUAGCUCACUCUGUGGAGGCUGAAUGAGGUCCUGAGGUUGUGGGGAGGGUAGAGGGUAGCCACCAGCAGUGGGUUUUAAAGCAGAUGCUGGAGUGCCCCACCCACAUCCCGUCUAACUUACCACUUCAGUGCACACCAGCCACCAUACUGCUACCCUGAGUCUUUCUGCCUGAGGGCUCCUCCCUUGCUCUCGGCACCUGCUCUGUCAGCCUGCGGCAGACCUGCAGGACUGGUGGCGACCCCCACUCCUGCCCUCCGAUUGCCACUGGGUGGGAUAACUCCCAGGUGCCUGCUCCACGCUGGCCCCCGGAGCACCCAGCAGGACUGAACUCCGGCCGCCCACAGCGGUCACUUGUGUGGUAACACCUCCUCCCUUGUCCCCUUUCCUUGUGCCCCUACCACUGCUUCCCGGGACCACUUCCCACAGAAACUGCUUGCCCUCAACAUCCUCAUCUCGGGGUCUGCUCUUGGGGGAACCCAAACUAAAACUGGCCCCUGGUGCAGCGAGUUGAGGGGCAGCAGAGCUUGGUGGUUAAGGCUAUCAGCUUUGGAACCCAGAAUGUAUGGGCUCAGUUCUGGCCCCGCUGGUUCCUUGUAAGUGACUUAACCAUUCAAGGCCUCCGUCUUGUCAUCUGUUAAACAGCCAUUCUCACGGCACAUGCCUUGGAGGGUGGUAUGGAGGAUUAAAUGAUACGACAGCAUAUAAAGUAAGCACUCGAUGAAUGCCUGCUGCUGUUUCCAAUGUAUCAUCCAAAUGUAAAAGGAAGUUUGGCCCCAAGGACUACGGACACUCUGCUUUCAACCUGGCCUGCGCCACCCCUCAGCUGAAGGUAAAAGCCUUGGCUGCCCACCCCCCAUUCCUCCCGAUGUCCCCCCACUGCUGCUGGGGGUUGGCCGGCUACCCCACCCACUGUCUCUGCUCUCUAAGAAUAGGUUCCCCUCACAGAUGGCAUCUCUCUGGAUCCUGCCAAGGCAUCUGGUGUCUCCAACUGCUCACUCCAGGGAGGGAGGCGGUGUGGUCCUCAUGCAGGACUAGAGCCCCGGCUCCUGGGAGGAGUUCCCACUCAGCUCCCUCCUGGCCCAGCC
ensembl:lncRNA